rnacentral:rRNA from 1 species
GCAAGCGUUAUCCGGAAUUAUUGGGCGUAAAGCGCGCGUAGGCGGUUUUUUAAGUCUGAUGUGAAAGCCCACGGCUCAACCGUGGAGGGUCAUUGGAAACUGGAAAACUUGAGUGCAGAAGAGGAAAGUGGAAUUCCAUGUGUAGCGGUGAAAUGCGCAGAGAUAUGGAGGAACACCAGUGGCGAAGGCGACUUUCUGGUCUGUAACUGACGCUGAUGUGCGA